GUGUGUUCAGUGCAAGUGUGCUCAAUGCAGGUGUGUUCAGUGCAGAUGUGUUCAGUGCAGGUGUGUUCAGGGCAGGUGUGCUCAAUGCAGGUGUGUUCAGGGCAGGUGUGCUCACUGCAGGUGUGUUCAGGGCAGGUGUGUUCAGUGCAGGUGUGUUCAGUUCAGGUGUGUUCAGUGCAGAUGUGUUCAGUGCAGAUGUAUUCAGUGCAGGUGAGUUCAAUGCAGGUGUGUUCAGGGCAGGUGUGUUCAAUGCAAGUGUGCUUAAUGCAGGUGUGUUCAGGGCAGGUGUGCUCAGGGAAGGUGUGUU
rnacentral:lncRNA from 1 species